UUAUUUCAAGGUCAAAUAGAAGAACUGCACUCACAUUAACUCAGAAGCAAGAUGUGUUUUUUUCUGAAGUUCAGUCAUAUAUGAGUAUUUGACAUAAAAUUCAUAAAGAUGAAACUGGUGAGAUUUUCAAAACUACAUAAAUGCCUUUAAUCUGCAGCUUCAGAAAUAUAUAUUCAAGUUGCUGUCUCCAGGGUACCAGCUAUCCUUAUGCAUGCUCUCAUGGCAACGAGUCACUGUCUUUUCCCUGUGCAGCUACGUUCUACAACAUGUGGAAUGCUCUCUUUCUCGCUGUAUAUUGAGACACUGUAGGUGGUUUGCAGUAUGCUGAACUGAAACCAGCUCUCUUCUACAGACUUUUCUGUGCAACUAUGAGAUCUAGAAAUGCACUUCAUUUUUCAAUAAAAGCAAAGUACCACAGGAUCA
rnacentral:lncRNA from 1 species